UGAGGAAUAUUGGUCAAUGGCCGAGAGGCUGAACCAGCCAAGUCGCGUGAAGGAAGAAGGAUCUAUGGUUUGUAAACUUCUUUUAUAGGGGAAUAAAGUGGAGGACGUGUCCUUUUUUGUAUGUACCCUAUGAAUAAGCAUCGGCUAACUCCGUGCCAGCAGCCGCGGUAAUACGGAGGAUGCGAGCGUUAUCCGGAUUUAUUGGGUUUAAAGGGUGCGUAGGUGGUGAUUUAAGUCAGCGGUGAAAGUUUGUGGCUCAACCAUAAAAUUGCCGUUGAAACUGGGUUACUUGAGUGUGUUUGAGGUAGGCGGAAUGCGUGGUGUAGCGGUGAAAUGCAUAGAUAUCACGCAGAACUCCGAUUGCGAAGGCAGCUUACUAAACCAUAACUGACACUGAAGCACGAAAGCGUGGGGAUCAAACAGGAUUAGAUACCCUGGUAGUCCACGCAGUAAACGAUGAUUACUAGGAGUUUGCGAUACAAUGUAAGCUCUACAGCGAAAGCGUUAAGUAAUCCACCUGGGGAGUACGCCGGCAACGGUGAAACUCAAAGGAAUUGACGGGGGCCCGCACAAGCGGAGGAACAUGUGGUUUAAUUCGAUGAUACGCGAGGAACCUUACCCGGGUUUGAACGUAGUCUGACCGGAGUGGAAACACUUUUUCUAGCAAUAGCAGAUUACGAGGUGCUGCAUAGUUGUCGUCAGCUCGUGCCGUGAGGUGUCGGCUUAAGUGCCAUAACGAGCGCAACCCUUAUCACUAGUUACUAACAGGUGAAGCUGAGGACUCUGGUGAGACUGCCAGCGUAAGCUGUGAGGAAGGUGGGGAUGACGUCAAAUCAGCACGGCCCUUACAUCCGGGGCGACACACGUGUUACAAUGGCAUGGACAAAGGGCAGCUACCUGGCGACAGGAUGCUAAUCUCCAAACCAUGUCUCAGUUCGGAUCGGAGUCUGCAACUCGACUCCGUGAAGCUGGAUUCGCUAGUAAUCGCGCAUCAGCCAUGGCGCGGUGAAUACGUUCCC
rnacentral:rRNA from 1 species